rnacentral:ncRNA from 1 species
UCUUGGAGAGAUUCAUGAAAAAAUGAACGCCGAAGGUGUAAGGCGGCAGAGCCGCCGAUCUCUCAGGCAAAAGGACAGGAGGA